AUAUUUUAUUUAGAAUAUAAACU
rnacentral:tRNA from 1 species